ACCUGGAUAGCUCAGUUGCUUAGAGCGUGGUGCUGCUAAGACCCAAGGUUGCAGGUUCAAUCCCCAUAUGGGAUA
rnacentral:tRNA from 1 species